UGUUUUUAUUCAGGUGAUAAUUCUUCCCUUUUUUGUAUGGUUAAUUUUCCUCAAAUAGUAGGAGAUUCUUGAUUGUUCAGUCUUUUUGUAUAACAAUCCUCAACCAGAAGCUUAAAAUGCAGUAAUUCCUGUGAUUGUGGGGAGAGCAGGAUGCACGUUCAGACAGCGUGCCCAUCUUUCUAGAGGUGCUGUUGUUUUCUAGGGUUCAUUGCUUAGCACUCACACUUGCAACCAUGGCCCAUCCCCCAGGGAAUUCCUACUUUUUUCAUUGCACAAAGCUUUCCCAAACUCCCUUGCAGAUCCUCAUCACAGGAGAAGUUAUUUAUGCCAUGUUGUUCCAUCCCCUAUUACUGUUUUCUUCAUUUUCAUGUGACUUAUCUCAUUAUAAUAUCAUUAACAUGUAGAAGGUGUCGGUUAACUAGGGUAAAGUUGAGCAAUGUCUGCACAGUAUCUGGUCCCAACAGAUGCUAUGCUGUGUUAGGUUGAACUCAGCUGUUAGACUCAUCUCAUUCUGACGGUCCCAAGAAUGAAAUCACUCUGCAGCCUCCUCCUUAUGACUGUGUGCUGGUUGUUCUUGGUAUCUCUCCUGAAUUCACUGGCUCAACACAUUCUAUUUCUACUAAUAUAAGAAAUAUUUCCAAAUCCUCUGACAGAAUGUCUUCUAUAUACAUUUUUCUCUUCUAAGACAGUUGGUUAGCUUUCUGCUCAGUAUGGACUCCCCAGUAAUUCUGAGGCUCGAAAGUGCUUAUGUGUUUUAAAGUCAGAUUGAAGGUCAGUCAGUGUGGCUGAAAUACAGUGAAUGAGGGAGAGAGUAUCAUGAAAUGAGAUUGAAGAAGUAGGCAGGGGCCCGAUCAUGCAGGACAUCAGAUGACUAGAUAAGCAGUUUGUAUUUUAUCCUAAGUGCAAAGGGACUUAUUACCUGAUGCAUGUCACAGCCAGCUCCUCUUCCUAGUUAGCAUUGGGGCUGAGGACCAAUGAGAAGUCCCUCUAGGAGGUGCCCUGCUGCACACAGUGGAUGGCAGACCUAUAUCCUGGGUGCUCUAGGCAUCAAUCAGUGCUCUCACCAACCUUCAUUCUGUUUCUCUUCCGUUUCAGAGGUUGUGUUUUCAUCUUACCCUGGAUUUUCAACCUCAGAGGUGAAAACCGAAAUCCCAAAGGUGCCGAAGCAGCCUCUGGUGCUCCAUCACCCACGCGUGACGACAACCAAGUCUCCCUCAAAGGAUAUGCUAGAGCCAGAGGCAGAGCUGGCUGAAGAUCUGCCCACUACCAAAAGCACUUCUGUGGAGUCAGAGAUGCCCACUGAGAGCCUGGAAGGCCUUUCCCUGUCUCGCCGGACCUUCGUGCCACUGCCUCCCAUCUGCUCCGACUCCACUGUGCAUAGUGAAGAGACCCUGUCCCACCUGAGUGACACAGCUGUCCGCCUCAGCCCAGAGCGCCCAUCAGAUGAGGACUCCAAGAGCACAGAGUCCAUCUUCCUGACCCAGGUGAAUGAACUGCCUUCCUCCAUCAUCCAUAAGGAUGAUUUAGAGUUGAAGGAGAAAGACCAAAAGAAACCACCAACGGCACCCAGAGAGGUGAAAGGGACUCGGAGGAAGCUCCCAACUGCCUCCCUUCCCAGCAAGUACCACGGCUAUGAAGAACUGCUGACAGCCAAGCCUGAUCCAGCCUUCAUUGAGCCAAAGGGAAUCCAGAAGAAUGCACAAGCCCUGCAAAAAAUGCUGAAGCACCCACUCCUGUGCCACUCCUCCAAGCCCAAGCUGGACACUCUUCAGAAACCCUAUGUUCCCAAAGAGAAACGGGUAAACAUCCAGCUCACUGAAUGUGUAAAUGGCCCCUGAGUACCGCCCACAGGUACAGAUGUGGCUGUCACCUUGGGACCCUCUGAGGGCCAUGCUUUCCCAGCACCCCCAGAUGCUCCCCAGCCCGUUGCUGUGACUGUAUGAAGUUAGGCCAGGAAAGUCUGUGCAUAAACCUGGAAUAACACCCUCCUCCAUGACCUUCUGCCAGGCCCAGAGAAUCCUGAUUCCACCCCCAAGGAAGACUAGAGCCCAGCUGCUGGAUGACAUCUUCAUUCGCUUGCGGGAUCCCCGGAACAUUACAGAGGCUCCACUAGGUACGGCUCUGCCACAGCUGCCAGGAUCCCAGAUUCAGUUCACUCCUGCUGGCUAAAGGCAAAGAAAGGGCUUGUGUCAGUGCAGGAAAGGCCCUUAGAGAGCAACUGCCUACAUCAGUCUCUAUAUGUAGAUGGAGAAAAGGAGAGCCAGAGUGAGGCAGGGAGUUGCCUAAAAUCACACAGCAUGUUAAGGUCCUGAACCAGGGCUUAAGAUAGAGUCAAUGCGUAGGGGCAGUAGGAAGUCACUGACUUCCUACUGCCCCAAGCUGGAAAGGCCAUUUUUAGCCCCUUAGCAUCCUCCUGCCACACCAUCCCAUUUUCCAAGGGUCUCUGGACCCAAUCCUCUUGCUUUCGGCUGGGUGAGAACCAGGAUGAGCUUGGUGCCUCUCCUGGCUUCGUUUCCUGCAGGUGCUGUCCUGCACCAGUGGACAGAACGGCGGCUGGUGAACCACAAGCAGUACCUGGAGGCCAAGAGGCUGUUGAAGGAGUUCCAGGCACGUUACCGGCAGCUGGUGAGCGGCUCUCUGCGCACAGUGUUCAGGACUACCUCGCUCCCCCCGGCCUGCCCAGCGCUGAGUGAGAGCCAGCCCAAGUUCGGCCACUUCCUCGAGUUCAUGGAUGAGUUCUGCCAGGAGCCCACAGCCAGUGACUCACAAGGCUAGGGCUGUGCAUGGGGGCUGUGUGCACCACCCGGCCUGUGCCCCAGCUCUCCCCGAGGGCUCUGUGCCCUGGACCGCACCUCAAGGUUGACCAGCUGGCCACAGGCCUCAGAGCUCAGCUGGGCCCCACUCACUGGCCACAAGGUGGCAUCCCCUUGUCAGGAUCUCCCCUCCUUGGCCCAGGCAUGACCUGGUGCCUGGCCCAGCAGCAAUAAAGAGUGGGUGCACAGGGC
rnacentral:sRNA from 1 species